CAAAACAAACCAAGAACUUAUCAACAUUACAUCAUUCUUCUCCAUAUUCAGCUUGCAACUGAAAAAAGGCAAAGAUAGGAGUUUUCAGAAACAUGAGGAGAAAGUAUUUUAAUUCAAGAGGAACAUGGGUGAGGGGGGGCAUGUGCGCCUGGAGUUGUCCUGAUCACAAGAUCUACCAGGACACCAACUCCUCUAGAACAGUGGCCCUCAAUACUGGUUGCACAUUAGAAAUAUCCAGGCCUUACCCUAGGUGGGGCCCGAGCAUUGGUAUCGUUUAGAAGCUUCUCAGGUGAUUCUAAUGUGCAGUCAAGAUUCAGAACCAUAUGCUGAAAUAGCUGAGGCAAUAUGCAGGAAAUAGAAAGCCAUUCAUCCCGUGGUUCCCAAACUUGUAUGCACAUCGGCAUCAUGAGAAUCACCUGGAGAGCUGCAAAUGCUACUGAUGCCUGAGUCCAAGCCCCCAGAUAGGGGAUUGAAUGUGGCCUGGGCUUUGGAAGAGAGACAUGGAAGAUACUAAGUGUGCUUGCUUUUUAAUUACAAAAACCUGUAAAUUGUAUUAAAUAAAAUUUAAAAGCUAUGUACUUUAACUUCAUGUUUUUGGCUCUUAAGAGUAGGGGGAGAUGAAAGGAAGAAAAAAGGUAGGAGAAGAGGAAAAAAGACAGCACAAGGAAGAACUAAAUGGGCAGAGGAGAACGGGAGAAGAACAAAGUCACCACCUCACAUUUCAGGAGAACAUGAAAUGUACCAGAUGAGACAGUGUGUCCAGAACAGUUUAAGGACUUGCCUAACGUGGACGGAUGGUUAAUGCCUUAACAGAUCCAGAGCCCAGGUAGCCACCACCUUUUGUUCUCUUUCACCACACCAGCAUUUCCCAAUGUGUGUUCCAGAAAGCAAUAAGUCUGCAAGGAUCUGCGUGAAUAAACCUUCCCAGAAGUUUGGAGAAUGCUGCAUGCUUUCUCUCUCCUGGGCUCAAGAACCCACUAGGUAGUGAAUACUUCAGAGAAGUCUGACAGUGGGAGAAACCCAGACUCAGUGACAACAGAAUUCUGUUUUAAAUAAAAUCUCUACCCUACAGAAAUGCUGUCUUGCCAUGCUAGCGUGUUUACCCAAUGUUUAAACUCAUAUUUAAAACAUUUCAAAAAGUAUGUCUUCCACAUUAAAGAAAAAUCAAAGAUUUGGGUGAUGAGGAAGAAAUCUGACAUUCCUUUAGUAUUAUAAUUUCAAUAUUACUUUCUAUUUUGAGAGUACUAAAAAUUUAUCAAAUAGCAUCUAGAAAAUGAAGGGAAGCAGAAAAAAAAAUUGAUUCCACCAACUGGAUUUCACUGUUAUUUUUAUUUAUUUCCUUCCAGUAUUUUUUAAAUGCAUGAUAAUUUUUAUAUAGUUGUAAUCUUACUGUGCCUACAACUUUGUCUUGUUAGUUUUGAUCAUACAUAUGAUUUUAGUGAUCAUAACUGAUCUUCAUGAGCUGUGUCAGCUGAACAGAAGCAGUGAUCUAGAAGAAGGAACAGUAGAAAUGACCUUGCUUGGUUCAUGGAGACACCAAUGUAGGGGCGUUGGUAUAGACCUGAAGAUGUGGAUGGCAACAGACCCUGAGCUCACAGAGACUGGAGGCCAUGUGGUGGUGGCCUUAGGAUGAAAAUAAUUCUACCUGCACAAAUGUCAUAGGUCCAGGCUUCUGGGUAAGUCUCCCUAGAUGUGGAAAGAGAGAAAACUGGAGCAUCAGAUGAUCUACUUCUGUUCCUGGCUCUGCAGAAGUGGGAUGUUCAACCCUCUGCUCUGAGUCUUCUCAUGCAGAAAACACUGCCUUCACACUGGUCUGCUCCCACUUCUCCUACGGGCCACAUGGCUUCUGUUCCAGAGCCUUUGCCCAGAAAGCCCUUUACCUGAGAUCCCAAGCUUCUCUGAACUUCUCAGAUUCAAUUCUACCCUCCUAAUCCAAGUCUUAGACUGCUUGUAUUUUUCCUCUAAAGACAGCACUUACCUCAAGGUGCAAUUAACAUAUUUAUGUGGCUAUUUGAUUAAUGUCUGUCUUCUCUAUUAGAUUGUAAGUUACAUUAGGGCAGGUCUGUUUUGCUUACCGUGGUAUAUCCAGCACCCACCAUGGUAUAUAUCCUACUGUAUGUCUGGCACAAAGAAGAAGUUGACAGACAAUUGCUGAAUCAAAUGAAUGAAGGAGAGGGGUUAGAACUAUAUGGUUCCUAAACUCCUUCCAGUCCAAAAAGAGGUUAAUAUUCACAGUCUAAUAUAAAGAGUGCCAUUGGUGUUGAGUUCCACCACCACUACCAUCCCACCCAAAAAACCCCAUAAGCCACGUAACAUGGGCAAUAGUGUGAUAAUUCUUUUGCUCCCUUCAGACAUAUCAGUUGUGAAUCUUUCUUAAAAGUCCCUGUGGCUUUAACGUAACUUUGGCAACCUCAUCAGUCUGUCUCAGUGAGUCCUUUUGAAUAAACAAAGCUUAUCCUUUGAAUGUGACUCUAGUACUCUUUAAACAAAUCAGGUCUCCAUUAGCUACAGUGAUGCAGGCAAGGCCUAUAAACAAUUAGAGACCUUUUUUUUUCUUGCUUUUUUCUUUAAUUGGAGUAACUAGACCCUUAAAAUACAAACCACAGUUUUGUUGUUUUCAUUUUUUAACCUAUGUUAAAAUAGACAGAACAUAACAUGGGCCAUUUUAACCAUUUUUAAGUGUACACUUCUGUGGCAUUAAGUAUAUUCAUAUUGUUGGGCAACCAUCACCACCAUCCAUCUCCAGGUGUUGUUUUUUAAACCAGAUGUUAAAAUCCAGUGGAGUAAAAAUAAUAUAGAUAUUUUCCAGGAGUAUUUUAGGUUGAAACUUGGAGCAAAUCCUUCCAAAUUCUCCAUAAAAAGAUAAAAUUUCAAAUGCUUAUCUAAGAACAGUACUUUAGUUCCUUAGGAAAAAGCAGAGGCAUGGGGACAGGUCAUCACUCUAGCAGCAGCUGGAAAUCCCGGGAGUGCUAGCUUAGUAACCAUAACACACUACAGGUAAGGGCUUUCCCUAGAAAUCAUCUCCCUCAAAACAGUGUUGACAGCUGGCUUUCACUGAGGGAUCUGAUAAGUGAGUCACAGGUAUUAUUCCAUUUAAUCCUCACAACCGUCUUCCAAGUAGGUACUAUCUCCAUUUUACACAAUAAGGAAACUGAGGCCUAGAGACAGGAAUUUACUUGCCCAAAGUCUCACAGCUGGAAAGUAGCAGAUCUCGGAUUGAAAUAAAAGCCUUCUGGUCCCUAAGCUGGCAUUCCACAAAAGUGGCAGCUUUUAAUGAAGGCAUGUGUUUUGGUAUGAGGGUAGUCUGCUGCCUCCGAGAGAACCCUGUGGGGCUCCGUGUGCACCAGAAUGUAGAACGUUUGUGCUAAAAGGAAUGUCUGACAACUUGCUAACUGCUAGUGUUCAGUGACGAGCAGGCAAUUAAGGAAGUGGUGAACCAGGCAGACCUCAAAGCUACCUCUCUCCCCACAUCCACCAGGACAAAGGCACUUUCCCAAGGGAAAUUUAGGGACAGCUAAUGAUUCUUCAGUUCAUUAAGGCCUAUGUCUUUUUUAAAUGGCCAUCGCGUAUCUAGAGGGCAGUAGUUCCCAGACUAAUGGCAUGAGAAUGCCCCAGGGUGCCUGUUAAACGUGUAGAUUCCCAGGCCCUGCAGCCCGGAGGUUUGAAAUGAGUAGGCUCUGGGGGUGAGAAUGGGAACCAAGAUCUCUAGGGGAUCCUGAGGCAGGGCCUGCCUCCCACACUGACAAACCCUGCCAUCAGGCUGGUCCUUCCCAUGCUCUUCACAUCCAAGGAGAGACCAGCUUUACUUGUUCAAGAUGCUCAUUCUAUUCAUUGAGUCAGCAAACUUCUAUGAGGCAACCACCCAAGUCAUAUGCUGUGCUGGUUGUAAUUUAACAUUUACUUUGUGAUUAUUUGAUUAAUGAUUAUCUCCUUCCACUAGAUUAUAAGCUCCAUAACGGUUAAGGCCUUUGCCAUUCUUGCUUACUGCUAUAUCCCUACGGCCUAAAAUAGAAUAGAUGGUCAAUGACUAUUUAUUAAAUGAAUGAACUGAGUGAAUGAAUAAUAAAAUGUAUGCAAAGACAAAUGAAACCCAGUCUCUGUUCUCAAUAUGCUUACAACCUUGCCAGGUUGCUGGUAGCUGGGCAAGUAACCACAUCAGUACAAUAAAGAGUUCUGUGCUUUGGCAGAUGUGGCCCAGGCCUAAGGCUAUCACCUCCCCAGAAAGGCUGAACCCAAACUGGGUCAGACAGGAAGAUAACAAGACUGGAUCAUCAAGACUGGAGGGCUGACCUGAGCUGGGCUAGACAAAGGCAAGUCAGAUGGAAGAACUGGGGAUACAGGCCAACACAAGAACAUGAAUCACAACAGACUUGAAGACUACCACUGAGAAUGAGAGAAGGUCACCCAUGACCGCAAGUAUUCAGUCUUGGGAACACAGAGGGAACACAGAGCUCAAGUCUCAUGGCUUUUGCCUCCUAGGCAGUCCUCCUCUCCAAUGAUGCAAUAAUGAACAUGUGAAAAGGUCAAAUCAAGAAGGCAAUCAUGUACUUUUGGAGCUGGCAAACAAACAGCAGAACUGAGAUGUCAUUAGGCUUCAACUGUGAGUGAGGUUUUGCCAAGAAAGCCGACAUCACUCAAUAUUAAAAGGCAAGAAACCACUGACAAUGAGAAAGUAUCAGCCUUCCAUGCUGACAAAGGGGCUGCUGUGCACAGCCCCACCGAGUUGAAUUUUUAUGUCAAACUGAAGCCAAUGUAACAUCCAGGCCUCUGCUAUAGAGCAAGUGAUCUGGAUGGGUGGCAGAAGUUUCAGAGGCUUGGCAUAUGCUUCCGUCUUUCCAGGCUCACAGUUUAGUAUCUUCAAAUACAAGAAAAUAUACUUCUUCACAUGUAUUCCAGGGCCUCCAUGGUCCAGUUAACUUCUGGCUAUGUCACUGCCCACAGUACAUACGUGCUAAUUAAUUAGCAUAUUGGUAUAUUCUGGGCCCUUGCAGAUUUAUUUACUGUAAUUUCAAUGAAAGUUUCAAAUGGUGUAUUUAUCAUAUAAAUUUAAAUUUACCAUGCUUUUAAAUUAAUGGAUUAAACAAAAUAAGGACCAUAUUACAAAGUACUUGUGAGAUAUUCAUGUCUUUCAAAUUUUACUUUGAUGAAUUUGAAAGGAAGCAGAACUAAAUCACAACAGAGUUAACAACCCCAAUUAUUUUUAAUGACAUUAACCAGCUCUUCAAAUGUGGAAAUUCCACAGGAAAUCUGUCCAUCCAUGAGUUCAUUUCAAACUACUAUAUUUGAUACAUGUAUGUGUUCUCUGGGGUUUUUAAAUUGAUUUUGCUGCUUUAAUAUUAUUUAAUAUUUAAUAUCUUUAAUAUUUUGGAGAUGAGGAACAAGUCUUCUCCACAAUCUUUGACUUCCAAAGUACUUUAUAUAGAGCAGUCUAAUAAAUGUUAUUUUGGUGAUUGUGAUAAUUAUGGAGAAAGAAGAACAGAGUGCAGUGUUAUGACAUAUCCACAGUGAAACUAUGAGUAAGAAGUACAGAUUAUACUAGAUUGUAGGAUAUCAGCACAGUACAACACAGAUCUGGAUGUGGUGAAUAAAGUAUUUGUUUCAGUUAGACGAUCGAUUUAAUUAAUUUGCUGAACAAUUAUAAGACAAUUCUCUUCCCACCACUAAUUGACUCAAGGCACACCCUCUUCCAGAAUGAGCAUCUGUUUCCAUUUUACUCUCCUAAUUCAAUGGAUAUUGACUAGCUCCUGGGCUGCCGGAACCUCACCUCCUCCUGUAUGGUCUGAGUCACCAUAACCUCCCUCUACCUGCUGGCCCCUCCCAGCCUCCCUCAUAAACACACACAAACACACAGAUU